AAUAACAAUACAUAAACAAUAGCAUCGUUAUUAGGCUAUUGUCCAAAUUUCUAACAAACCAUCCUCCUCGUAGACUAAACUUUUGCCCCUGUAAAUGUGUAUUUCCUGCACGACAACGGAGUUUAAAGGAAAAGCCAGAAGCACUUUCUAUUUUCUCUUCGUAUAGUUUCAGAGACAAACUCGUUCUAUACGAGAUUUAAGAGGAUUUGAGGAUGGAAAAGUCCGCUUAAUGCAGUGGAAGAAUACAACAAAAUUCAAUUCGAAAUGAUAAAUUAACAGAAGAAUGGCAAAUUCCAAGAACGUGAUUUGUUUCGUAGAAAGACGAUGCCAUACGUCAUCCUAGGGAUUAUAAAGGGAUGGAAAAUGCUGCAGGUUAAACAAUGCUGCAUCAAUUUAUUCAGAAUUCAAUCGGAAAUUUCGAUCUAGACAGUAAUAAAUGGAGAAUUGUAAUUUUAAAAAACCAACCGUAUGAAUUAAAAGAUAUAAUUUUCAUUUAUUUAU